CCCUCACUCAGUCCUCAGCCCUUAGCGCUCAACCCUCCGGCCCGCCAGACAAUGAGGGCCAGCUAAUGGAUCUGAGAUAAAGUUCGGUAAACACCUGCUUUCAAGGUCUCCACCGACAAGACAGACUGGUGCUCCCCACUCAUGCCCCUCACGCAGACCUGAGGUGUGGCAGGCCAGCAGGAGGCAUCACCCACCACGCCUCUCCCACCACCUCUCCCAUGACCGCCACACCCGCAGGCACCCGUGUGAGAUGAAGGCCUCUGGAUGGACCAGGCCGCCCCUCGCACAAACAUCCCAGCACGGCGUGGGAUGGAGGGAGGGAAAGAAGGACGUAUAUUGCUCAAGGUAUG